rnacentral:rRNA from 1 species
AGGACGAACGCUGGCGGCGUGCCUAAUACAUGCAAGUCGAACGGCUUUUCUAUGGAAGCUUGCUUCCACUGAGAAGAUAGUGGCGAACGGGUGAGUAACACGUGGGUAACCUGCCCAUAAGAGGGGGAUAACAUCCGGAAACGGGUGCUAAUACCGCAUAGUUUUCUUGAUUGCAUGAUUGAGAAAGGAAAGACGGCCUUUGUGCUGUCGCUUAUGGAUGGACCCGCGGCGUAUUAGUUAGUUGGUGAGGUAACGGCUCACCAAGACGAUGAUACGUAGCCGACCUGAGAGGGUGAUCGGCCACAUUGGGACUGAGACACGGCCCAAACUCCUACGGGAGGCAGCAGUAGGGAAUCUUCCGCAAUGGACGAAAGUCUGACGGAGCAACGCCGCGUGAGUGAAGAAAGGUUUUCGGAUCGUAAAACUCUGUUGUCAGAGAAGAACAAGUUGGAGAGUAACUGCUCCAGCCUUGACGGUAUCUGACCAGAAAGCCACGGCUAACUACGUGCCAGCCGCUGC